GAUGAAGAACGUAGCGAAAUGCGAUAAGUAAUGUGAAUUGCAGAAUUCAGUGAAUCAUCGAAUCUUUGAACGCACCUUGCACUCCUUGGUAUUCCGAGGAGUACGCCUGUUCGAGUGUUAUGAAGCUCUCAAAACGCAAUUGGCUUAAAACCUGAUUGUUGUUUUGGAUUUGAACUUUGCCGUGUUAUAACGGCUGGUUUUAAAAGUAUUAGCUGGUACUAGAACGAAUUGGUUCUACUCAACGUGAUAAUUAUCUGAUCGUUGAGGACAUUCCUUUCACGAGGAAUGGCCAUAGUAAAUUCAAUGGACUGCUUCUAAUCUGGCUUUAAUUCUUUAUUGGAUUAACCACUUUUCAAAUCUGACCUCGAAUCAGGUGGGACUACCCGCUGAACGUAAGCAUAUCAAUAAGCGGAGGA
rnacentral:misc_RNA from 1 species